rnacentral:rRNA from 1 species
GACGAACGCUAGCGGCGUGCUUAACACAUGCAAGUCGAACGAAGAGCGAUGGAAGCUUGCUUCUAUCAAUCUUAGUGGCGAACGGGUGAGUAACGCGUAAUCAACCUGCCCUUCAGAGGGGGACAACAGUUGGAAACGACUGCUAAUACCGCAUACGAUCUAAUCUCGGCAUCGAGGAUAGAUGAAAGGUGGCCUCUACAUGUAAGCUAUCGCUGAAGGAGGGGAUUGCGUCUGAUUAGCUAGUUGGAGGGGUAACGGCCCACCAAGGCGAUGAUCAGUAGCCGGUCUGAGAGGAUGAACGGCCACAUUGGGACUGAGACACGGCCCAGACUCCUACGGGAGGCAGCAGUGGGGAAUCUUCCGCAAUAGACGAAAGUCUGACGGAGCAACGCCGCGUGAGUGAUGACGGCCUUCGGGUUGUAAAGCUCUGUUAAUCGGGACGAAAGGCCUUCUUGCGAAUAGUGAGAAGGAUUGACGGUACCGGAAUAGAAAGCCACGGCUAACUACGUG